rnacentral:piRNA from 1 species
UAACUAUGGAACAUUGAUAGCCAUUAAAA